rnacentral:rRNA from 1 species
ACUCCUACGGGAGGCAGCAGUGGGGAAUUUUGGACAAUGGGCGAAAGCCUGAUCCAGCAAUGCCGCGUGUGUGAAGAAGGCCUUCGGGUUGUAAAGCACUUUUGUCCGGAAAGAAAUCCUUGGCUCUAAUACAGCCGGGGGAUGACGUACC